UACGUAGGGGGCAAGCGUUGUCCGGAAUCAUUGGGCGUAAAGAGCGUGUAGGCGGCUAUGCAAGUCGGAUGUGAAAGCCCUCGGCUCAACCGGGGAAGUGCACCCGAAACUGCAAAGCUAGAGUCUCGGAGAGGAUCGUGGAAUUCUCGGUGUAGAGGUGAAAUUCGUAGAUAUCGAGAGGAACACCGGUGGCGAAGGCGGCGAUCUGGACGAUGACUGACGCUGAGACGCGAAAGCGUGGGGAGCAAACAGG
rnacentral:rRNA from 1 species